rnacentral:tRNA from 1 species
GCUUUUAAAGGAUAACAGCCAUCCAUCGGUCUUAGGAGC